ensembl:misc_RNA Metazoa_SRP Metazoan signal recognition particle RNA
GUCGGGCACAGUGGUACAUGCCUGUAGUCCCAGCUACCUGGGAGGCUGAGGCAGGAGGACUGCUUGAGCCCAGGAGAUCUGGGUUGUAGAGCACUAUGCCAAUCAGGUGUCCACACUGAGGUCAGCAUCAGUAUGAUGACCUGGCAGUGGGGGACCACCAGGUUGCCUAAGGAGGGGUGAACCGGCCCAGGUCAGAAACAGAGCUGGUCAAAACUCCUGUGCUGAUCAGUAAUGGGAUGGUGCCUAUGAACAGCCACUGCACUCCAAUCUGGGCAACAUAGCAAGACCCCAUCUCUA